AGAGUGGUGGUUCAGUGGUGGAAUUCUCGCCUUCCAUGCAGGAGACCCAGGUUCCAUUCCCGGCCCAUCCA
rnacentral:tRNA from 1 species